AACGCACAUUGCGCCCUUUGGUAUUCCAAAGGGCAUGCCUGUUCGAGCGUCAUUUGUACCCUCAAGCUUUGCUUGGUGUUGGGCGUCUUGUCUUGGGGGCUUCCUCUCAAGACACGCCUUAAAAUCAUUGGCAGCCGGCCUACUGGUUACGGAGCGCAGCACAUUAUUUGCGUUCUUGUCCAGCCGCGGUCGCGCGUCCAUGAAGCUUCUUUCAACCUUUUGACCUCGGAUCAGGUAGGGAUACCCGCUGAACUUAA
rnacentral:misc_RNA from 1 species